AGCCAAAGUUAGACGCCUAACCGACUGAGCCACCCAGCUAUCGAGCUAACUCUGUUCCGAGCACUGCACUAGACCCUGGAAAUGCAAAGACAGCAAGCCAUGCCCUGGCCUUGCAGGAGCAAGGACGUUAACCCAACAUUGUGCACUGGAAAAGGUCGGAGCCUUCUGCUUUGCUUCCUAGCCCUGCCUUUUGGGGCCGUGUGCCUUCAGAGUGGUCAUCUUUGGCGUCAUGCUGCUUAUUCUAAGGAUAGUUGCCGUAUCCAGAGCAUUUUAGGAGAUCCUUUUAGAACUGCUCUAAGAGAAUGGAGUGUACUUAUUAAAAAAAAAAAAAAAAAA